GAUGAACGCUAGCGGCAGGCUUAACACAUGCAAGUCGAGGGGUAACAGGAGUGCUUGCACUCGCUGACGACCGGCGCACGGGUGCGUAACGCGUAUAGAACCUACCUUUUACUGAGGGAUAGCCUUUAGAAAUGAAGAUUAAUACCUCAUGGUAUUGUAAACUGGCAUCGGUUUAUAAUUAAAGAUUUAUUGGUAAAAGAUGGCUAUGCGUCUUAUUAGCUAGAUGGUAAGGUAACGGCUUACCAUGGCAACGAUAAGUAGGGGCCCUGAGAGGGGGAUCCCCCACACUGGUACUGAGACACGGACCAG
rnacentral:rRNA from 1 species